UACGGAACCGUCCAGAAGGCUGCUUAAUGUACGGCCUAACAAUGCAUCGGCUCCUUCAGACAUGAGCCAAAAGUGCUGUUCCAGUCAGCACCAGCCCACAAAACAUGGAUGAAGGAGAAUCGGGCACUGUGAAGAUAAACACAGAAGUCUGCCCCACCCAGCCUCCUCUUCAACCAAACCAACAAUGGUUCUCCUGGCGAAGGACGAGGUCACCCACCUCGGCUCGUCCGCUGCUGUGGCUUUCCCGUCUGGGCGCCUGUGGCAAUGCUUAAGACGCGGAAGAUACCUGCUUGUAAUUCCUUGCCCGGUUCAUGCAACCCAGAAGAAUGUGAAGAUUUCUUUCUUUUCUUACCAUGAGGCUCCUAAUCUAAGGGCAAGCAUAAAGACAGCUGAAAAACCACUUGCUAGACAGCUAGAGAAUGAAGCUAUCAAAAAGUACAGCAGAGCUGAGAGACAAAGACAGGCCAAAUCUUGAAGGCAGCAUUUAGGAUCCAUGAAUCCAGCUAUGCCUGAAGGAAACCAGAUCUCUCGCUAGACUUGCCAGGUAUGUGAUGGAAUACAUUCCAUUUUUGCUUAAGCCAGUUUGAACCAGGAGUUUUGUCCUUGGGAAUAAAAAGCAUACUAAGUGAUACAGUCUUUUAUUGUGUUUAACUCUCUGACUGGUCUUUGAUUAUCUACAGCACCAACCAGUGUGUUUUCAAUAUGUUCCUGCUAGAUGAAUCUUCCAAUCAAUAGAUAAACUUCUCUAAGAGCAGGAAGUUCAAGAGACAUACUAAAGAUAAUGUGAAUUACAGAUCUAAAAAAUGAAAAAGGUCAGGGCUAUAUAAAUUCAGGAGGGCAGAUGAGUUAGAUCAAGAAUCAAGAACAGUUAUACUAGGAUUGUUGUUCUGUAGAUUUGGGUUACAACAGGUCAAUUCCUAUGGCUGAAGCAUAAUAUCUGCAUAUAUAAAAAGACAUAUUUAAUUUGAAUAGUCUGAAUUCAACUUCUAACCCAGUAGGAAUUGCGCACACAGAGUUUGGGCAUGAUACUUGGUGUUUUGGGUUGUUUGUUGGUCACAGGUUAUGUAGUUGAGGGUGCCCCAAGGGUGCUCAUGAAGGUGAGACUGAAGGCAUGGAGAAUCCAGUGAGGCUUCAAUAUUAGGAGACUGGACAGAGAAGCAGAGCCCAACUCUGUGGCACUGGCCUGAAAACCAGAUAUCUUACAGCUCCUAGCUGGGGGAUUUAGAGGCCAGGAAGAGUUAUGACCUAUGAGAGAGAGCUUCAAGGAAGGUUUUAUUGAUAUUCUAGAGCCACAAAGAAGCCAGAGAACUAAAGCUCAUGCUUAAAACUGAGCUGGCAUAGGCAGGUAGCCCAUAUGGAGGUCACAGGUCCUGUUAAAUCCAAUUCUUCAGUUUAUAGGUUAUUGAUACUCUCACAUGGAAAGGUAAAUGGUGGAGAUGAGGAAUUGUGUAAAUAUGGCGUGGAGGAAUACUCAGGAGUAUAGAUGAAGAAAAGCUUGGUUGUAGUGUUUAACAGGAAGCAAGGUGAGGUAAAAUAUUUAAAGAAUGGUUUGAGAAAUAAGAGGAAAACCACAAAGUCACUUGCCUGUCCUCAAAAGUGUGUCAAAGAUGAAAUGAUUAAUGAUUUUUUUUUUCCAGCCAGAAAAGCAAUAAAGAAGAAAUCUUUACAUUUGGCCAAAGGAGAGUAAUGGAAACCUCAAGGAGUCAUUGGGUUAAAAUAGGAAGAAUAAACAGCAAAUAAACAUAUGAAAAAAUGUUCAACAUCACUGGUCAUCCAAGAGAUGCAAAUUAAAAUAAUGCUGAGCUUCCAUCUCAUUUCAGAAAAAAUGGUUAAUAUCAAGAAAUCAACCACAAAUGCUGGCAGGGAUGUGGGGAAAAAAGGAAACCUUUUUCACUGUUGAUGGGAGUGAAGACUGGUGCAACCACUGUGGAAAUCAGUGUGGAAAUUGCUCAAACAACUAAGAUUACAGGUCCCAUUUGGCCCAGUUAUUCUUCUUCUUGGUAUCUCCUCCAGGAAUUAAAAGUAUCAUACCACAGUGCUAUAUGUGCACUCAUAUUUAUAGUGACACAGUUUGCAAUAGCCAAGUCUUGGAAACAACCCAAAUGCCUAUCAACCAAUGAAUAGUUAAAGAAGAUGUGGUUUUUCUAUACAAUGGAGUACUACUCAGCCAUAAAGAAGGAGAAACUUGACACCUUUAUAGUUAAAUGGAGGAUCUUUGAAGCUAUAUUCUUCUCUUCCUCCUCCUCUUCCUCCCACUCCUCCUCCUCCUUUUUGGGGAGUGGUACCAGGGAUUGAACUGAGGACAUUGCCCUUGUGAGGCAGGCAUGGUGCCACUGAGCUAAAUCCCUGGCCUGCUAAAGCUAUAUUCUUAAGUGGAAUAAAUCAGAUGCACAUAUGUAAGUAUCACAUUGUUUCUUUAGUGUAAGAAACUGAAAAUGUAAAUAGGGAACAAAAUGUAUAAUAGACAACAUGAAACAAGAAAAAAAAUCACUCAAUAGAAAGGGAACUCGAGGGGAGAAGGGGGAAAGGAAAGAAAAUGAGAAAAGAAGAAUAUGAAACAGUGCUAGAGUAAAUAAGGAAGGAGAAGGGGGUUAAGUGGAGCAGAGGGGAAUGGGAAAAAUAGGAAUCAAGAUGCAUCAUGUAAAAGUACAAAUUCCUUAUGAUGAAUGUGAUCAUUAUGUAAAUCUAAAUUGUACCAAGAAAAUUAAAAAUGAAAAAAAAUACGGGACAGGAGAAGAGGGCACAAUGCUGUAGGACAGAGACUCAGAUUGUAGAUGGAUGAGCCCAGCAAGGCAUGGACAGUGUUUAGAGAAUGGAUAAAUGAUCGUACAGGAACAUAAAGAUCAGUAUGUUCUUAAAGAAGUAGUGGUAAGGGAAGAACUGAUCCUAUAGAAAAGGGUGAGUUCUUUUAACACUCAGAGAAAACAAUUCAGAAAAUUUGGUUUAUGAGGUUAGGUGAGGAAAAAACUAACUUUCUGAUAACGUGAUAAAGGGCAAAAAUGGUGGCAUAGGGUUUCUCUGGUGUGAAAAACUAUAAUAGUACACAGGAUCCUAAUGAGAUAAAUAAUAAUGUGAAAUAGGAAGAAAAGGGCUAAAGGUGUAAAGAAAGUGGGAAGGGUGGGGGAAAGGUAAUAAGGGAGAGGAAAAAAUAUGAGAAAAUGAAAAAAUGGAAAUAAAGUGUUUGUAAAUGGGGAGGGUGAAGGGAGGGCAGGGACAAGGGGAAAAAAGGAGAAUCAAGACCUGUUAGGUAAAGGUACAGAAUCCCAAUGAUGAAUGUAACUGUAUUGUAUACCUAGAUUGUACCAAUAAACUCAAUAAAAAGAAAAAAAAUGGUGGCAUAGGAAGUAUAUCUUCAAUGGGCUUUCUUUUAAAUACAAAUAACUUUUCAUCUCUG
rnacentral:lncRNA from 1 species